rnacentral:rRNA from 1 species
UUUAGUGGCGGACGGGUGAGUAACGCGUGGGUAACCUGCCCUAUACAGGGGGAUAACAGUUGGAAGCGACUGUUAAUACCGCAUAAGCGCACAGGAGCGCAUGCUCCGGUGUGAAAAACUCCGGUGGUAUAGGAUGGACCCGCGUCUGAUUAGCUGGUUGGCGGGGUAACGGCCCACCAAGGCGACGAUCAGUAGCCGGCCUGAGAGGGUGAACGGCCACAUUGGGACUGAGACACGGCCCAAACUCCUACGGAAGGCAGCAG